GCGGAUAUGGCGGAAUUGGCAGACGCGUACGGUUCAGGUCCGUAUGAGUAAUAUCGUGGGGGUUCGAGUCCCUUUAUCCGCACCA
rnacentral:tRNA from 1 species